GAUGAACGCUGGCGGCGUGCCUAAUACAUGCAAGUCGAGCGAACAGACGAGGAGCUUGCUCCUUCGACGUUAGCGGCGGACGGGUGAGUAACACGUAGGUAACCUACCUAUAAGACUGGGAUAACUUCGGGAAACCGGAGCUAAUACCGGAUAAUAUUUCGAACCGCAUGGUUCGAUAGUGAAAGACGGCUUUGCUAUCACUUAUAGAUGGACCUGCGCCGUAUUAGCUAGUUGGUAAGGUAACGGCUUACCAAGGCAACGAUACGUAGCCGACCUGAGAGGGUGAUCGGCCACACUGGAACUGAGACACGGUCCAGACUCCUACGGGAGGCAGCAGUAGGGAAUCUGCCGCAAUGGGCGAAAGCCUGACGGAGCAACGCCGCGUGAGUGAUGAAGGUCUUCGGAUCGUAAAACUCUGUUAUUAGGGAAGAACAAACGUGUAAGUAACUGUGCACGUCUUGACGGUACCUAAUCAGAAAGCCACGGCUAACUACGUG
rnacentral:rRNA from 1 species